ensembl:lncRNA
AUAUGAGCAUGAGGAUGAAUUUUUGAACAGGUUAGCUUUUAUUCAGACAUUCAUAGAGGAAAAUAGUUCAUCUUGUGUCUAUGUUAUGGGUGAUUUUAAUGCCGAUAUGUCAGAUAGAAAAUCUUUAUUUGCAACACACUUACAGCAGUUUUGUAAUGAGUCUAACUUAAUUCUAUCGAGCACUGCUUUGUUGCCUGACUCAAGUUUUACCUAUGUUAGUGAUGCGUGGAACACAACAUCUUGGUUAGACCAUAUUGUUACCACAGCUGAUGCUCAUGCCUCACUGAUAAAUGUGGAGAUCUGCUAUGAACUUGCCACCUCAGAUCAUAUACCUAUUGCUGCUUUGUUAGAUGUUGAAAAACUCCCCCGGCUGUCCAGCAAUAAGAAUGCAGCUUCAAGUAAACUGGUCUGGUCAAAGCUGAGUAAAGAGGAGGUGGCUGAAUACUCAGUGCGAACUGAAAGUUUUCUAAAUAAUAUUCCACUGCCUUAUGAAGCCCUAAUGUGCUCAGAUAUUAAUUGUAAGGAUGUGCUACAUGUUGAAAAACUCUGUGCCAUGUAUGAUGGUAUUGUGAAAUGUCUUAAUGUUUCCAGUGUACCAUUCUGUAAAAGAAAAUGUAAAGUGCUUAACAUUAGACCUGGGUAUACUGAUUUCUCAGCAGAUAUGUUGGUUAGGGUAGCAGAUAUCUAUGUUGCCAUUAAUAUGUUGGAGAACAACAAAGCCUGUGGUAUGGACUACAUUAAUGCAGAACAUCUAAAAUAUGCCAGCCAUAAGCUCUGUCCUUUGCUUUCCAUGUGUUUUAAUGGUUGUUUGGUUCAUGGUGUCCUGCCUAAUGCUUUUAUGUCUGUUUUGUUACUACCUGUGCUUAAAGACAAGGCUGGGAAGCUCAAAAGUAUGCAUUAGCCAGUAUCUUGUCUAAAGUUCUGGAGAGAAUACUGUUAACAAAGUUAGAAAUGUAUGUUCUUACUGCUGACAAUCAGUUUGGUUUUAAAAGAAAGCAUGGAACCGAUUUGUGUAUCUAUGCUCUUAAAGAGAUUGUGUCAAGGUAUAACAGCCUGAAUUCGACCAUGUUUUUAUGUUUUAUUGAUGCGUCAAAGGCAUUUGAUAGAAUCAAUCAUGAACGACUGUUUGUAAAAUUGCUUGAUAGAGGUGCCCCUACAUUUUUAGUGAGAAUUUUAGUGUUUUGGUAUGCCCAUCAAACGUUUCAGGUCAAGUGGGACAAUGUUGUAUCUGCUCCAUUUUAUGUCAGUAACGGAGUGAGACAAGGAGGAAUUACAGGUCCUUCUCAAAAAAUUAGCAUAUUGUGAAAAAGUUCAUUAUUUUCCGUAAUGUAAUGAUAAAAAUUAAACUUUCAUAUAUUUUAGAUUCAUUGCACACCAACUGAAAUAUUUCAGGUCUUUUAUUGUUUUAAUACUGAUGAUUUUGGCAUACAGCUCAUGAAAACCCAAAAUUCUCAAAAAAUUAGCAUAUUUCAUCCGACCAAUAAAAGAAAAGUGUUUUUAUUACAAAAAAAGUCAACCUUCAAAUAAUUAUGUUCAGUUAUGCACUCAAUACUUGGUCGGGAAUCCUUUUGCAGAAAUGACUGCUUCAAUGCGGCGUGGCAUGGAGGCAAUCAGCCUGUGGCACUGCUGAGGUGUUAUGGAGGCCCAGGAUGCUUCGAUAGCGGCCUUAAGCUCAUCCAGAGUGUUGGGUCUUGCGUCUCUCAACUUUCUCUUCACAAUAUCCCACAGAUUCUCUAUGGGGUUCAGGUCAGGAGAGUUGGCAGGCCAAUUGAGCACAGUAAUACCAUGGUCAGUAAACCAUUUACCAGUGGUUUUGGCACUGUGAGCAGGUGCCAGGUCGUGCUGAAAAACGAAAUCUUCAUCUCCAUAAAGCUUUUCAGCAGAUGGAAGCACCAAAAUCUCCUGAUAGCUAGCUGCAUUGACCCUGCCCUUGAUAAAACACAGUGGACCAACACCAGCAGCUGACAUGGCACCCCAGACCAUCACUGACUGUGGGUACUUGACACUGGACUUCAGCCAUUUUGGCAUUUCCUUCUCCCCAGUCUUCCUCCAGACUCUGGCACCUUGAUUUCCGAAUGACAUGCAAAAUUUGCUUUCAUCCAAAAAAAGUACUUUGGACCACUGAGCAACAGUCCAGUGCUGCUUCUCUGUAGCCCAGGUCAGGCGCUUCUGCCGCUGUUUCUGGUUCAAAAGCACACGCCUGUGCACCGUGGCUCUGGAUGUUUCUACUCCAGACUCAGUCCACUGCUUCCGCAGGUCCCCCAAGGUCUGGAAUCGGUCCUUCUCCACAAUCUUCCUCAGGGUACGGUCACCUCUUCUCGUUGUGCAGCGUUCUUUGCCACACUUUUUCCUUCCCACAGACUUCCCACUGAGGUGCCUUGAUACAGCACUCUGGGAACAGCCUAUUCGUUCAGAAAUUUCUUUCUGUGUCUUACCCUCUCGCUUGAGGGUGUCAAUGAUGGCCUUCUGGGUUAACCUCUUACCCAUGAUUGCGGUUUUGAGUAAUGAACCAGGCUGGGAGUUUUUAAAAGCCUCAGGAAUCUUUUGCAGGUGUUUAGAGUUAAUUAGUUGAUUCAGAUGAUUAGGUUAAUAGCUCGUAUAGAGAACCUAUUCAUGAUAUGCUAAUUUUUUGAGAUAGGAAUUUUGGGUUUUUAUGAGCUGUAUGCCAAAAUCAUCAGUAUUAAAACAGUAAAAGACCUGAAAUAUUUCAGUUGGUGUGCAAUGAAUCUAACAUAUAUGAAAGUUUAAUUUUUAUCAUUACAUUAUGGAAAAUAAUGAACUUUUUCACAAUAUGCUAAUUUUUUGAGAAGGACCUGUAUGUCUCCUAUUUUAUUCAAUGUUUAUAUGGAUGAACUGUCAGACCAUUUAAAUAGGUUAAAAACUGGCUGUCUUGUGGGCAACACUGUUGUUAAUCAUUUAAUGUAUGCAGACGAUCUUGUCCUGCUCUGUCCUUACAGCGUUGGGCUGCAGCAGAUGCUGAAAGUCUGCUCGCAAUAUGGCUUUGAUUAUGAUAUCAAAUAUAACACUAAGAAAAGCCACAUAAUGGUAGUUAGAAGCAAUGAGGAUAAUAAAUCAACUUUUCCGACUUUUUAUUUGUCGGACAGCCCUCUUGCUGUGUGUGAGGAAGUUAAAUAUUUAGGUCAUGUGAUAUCUAAUGACUGGACGGAUGACAAAGACCUAUACCGUCAGCGUUGUAAAAUUUAUGCUCAAGCCAAUAUGCUCAUAAGGAAGUUUUAUAUGUGUUCUAACUCUGUGAAGUGCUCUUUGUUUAGAACCUACAUCACACCGCUAUAUACUGCUCAAUUGUGGUCUAACUAUAAGAAAAAGAGUAUGCAGCGGUUAAAGGUAGCAUACAAUGAUGCUAUGAGGUUGCUGCUCCGUGUCCCUAGGUGGCAUAGUGCCAGUAAUUUGUUUGUGUCUAAUAGAGUGCCAACCUGUGAGGCACUCUUAAAGCAACUGAUGUUUGGUUUUAUGUGUCGACUGGAUAAUUCAGUGAACCAUAUAAUCGAAGCCCUAGUCAGUCCUUUGAAAAGCUGUUAUAGAUACACUUCGAGGCUUAGACGACACUGGUGUAAUAGCCUGUAUAUUCUAUAGGCUAUUAUGGAAUUUUUAUGUAUUUUUGUAUUUCCUUUCUUAUGCUGUAUGUUGUGUUAUAUGGACUUGUGUCUGCAAUAAAUCUUUAUUAAAAAAGAAAAGAUGAAAACAGCAAAAAGAAAACUUCAUUCUAAGUCUUUAUGGAAGUUUACUGCCUAUAAAGUAUGUUUAUGAAAAUGUACACAAAGUGCCAGCACUAUGGUCAAAUAUAUGCUAGGUCUAGGUGUAAUAUGCAUUAAAAAUUAUUGAUUAUUUUUCUCUUCAAUGUAAUGUUUUUUUUUGGGGGGGGGGGGGGGGAUUCAAAGGACAGUGAAGUAGUAGUUGCAGUGAUUCAGUCACUUGACAUGGAUGUGACAUAUACAUUGUGCCUAACAGAGCUCAAAAGCCUCAAACCACACAACUGGUUGAAUGGGGAGGUAAUCGUAUGUCUACAUUUGUUUAGCAAACAUUGAUGUACAGUUAGAAAUGUAAGGAUUUAAAUUAGCCACCACUGUAAAUGCUACAUUAGAUUUCGAACCUACAUUUCAGGAUGUAUUGUCAUAUUUGUAGUGCUAGAGUUUUAUGUGAAAGCAUUUUUUGACUUUAAAGGUAAAUAUAUACAAAAAAAUGUACAUUUUUUACAUACAUCAUUGUAUACAAUUGAUUUAUACACACAAUUUUACAAAAUGUUAAACAGUCAUUACUGUGCAUGGAGGUUCACUUUCACUACUGGUAGUGUAAUAAGUAAACAUACAUUUGAAAAAUACUUGUAUAUUUAUUGUAAUGAAUUAUAAGGGCAUUAAUUUAAUUUUCUUUAUUGUUUUCAGAUUAUUGAAUGCUACUUCCAAACAAUGUUGAAUUCAAAAGAGUGUGGAAGAAAAAUAUUUUUAUUCAACCAUUACUCUGCCGGUGUUGUAUUUUGGGAGAGGUCUGCAUUGUCAAAGCACAGUUUCCGAAAGGUUAGACUUUACAGUUAUUAUUCAAUGUAAAAUGAAAAGGUCAGAAGGACAAGUUAAUUAAUGUGUUAUAUUUCAUCUUGUUUGCAGGUCGACUUUGAAAACUAUGAUGCCAUCAUUGGAUUCAUGCAAGUAUUUCUGGUGUGUAAAACCAUUGUCACACCACAGUUCAUUACUUAUGGACAUGGAAAACUAAAUAAACUAUAUGUUUUUAAUAGUAUCUCAAUAGGAA